CGGCGAACGGUCGCGUAACACGUAGGCAACCUGCCCUAGAGUGGGGGAGUAACAAACCUGAAAAGGUUGCUAAUACCGCAUGUGGACCCGGGGGGGGCGAUCCCCCUUGGUGCAAAGCGUCUUCGGGCGCGCUUUAGGAUGGGCUUGCGGCCUAUCAGCUUGUUGGUGGGGUAACGGCCUACCAAGGCGUUGACGGGUAGCUGGUCUGAGAGGAUGGUCAGCCGGAUUGGGACUGAGAUACGGCCCAG
rnacentral:rRNA from 1 species